rnacentral:rRNA from 1 species
AUUGAACGCUGGCGGCAUGCUUUACACAUGCAAGUCGAACGGCAGCGCGGGCUUCGGCCUGGCGGCGAGUGGCGAACGGGUGAGUAAUUCACCGGAACGUGCUCUGUCGUGGGGGGUAGCACGGCGAAAGCCGGCUUAAUAUAGCACACGAUAUGAGGGUUAAAGACGGGGAUCUUGGGACAUAGCGCCAUUGGCACGACCGAGGGCAGAUUAGCCAGUUGGUGGGGUAAGGGCCUACCAAGGCGACGACCAGUAGCUGGUCUGAAAGGGCGACUGGCCACACUGGAACUGGAACACGGCCCAGACUCCUACGGGAGGCAGCAGUGGGGAAUUUUGGACAAUGGGCGAAAGCCGGAUCAAGCAAUGCGGCGGGUGGGAUGAAGGCCUUCGGUUUGUAAAGCACUUUUGGCGGGAACGAAAAGGACUGUGCCAAUACCACGAUUCGAUGACGGUACCCGCAGAAUAAGCACCGGCUAACUACGUG